CUUGACGGAGCCGAGCCACAACGGCUCGUCGCCGGCCCGGUCCUGGCCGUAGGUGGCCAGCAGCGCCUGGGCCUC
rnacentral:antisense_RNA from 1 species